rnacentral:rRNA from 1 species
GGUUUGAUUCUCGGGCUCAGACGAACGCUGGCGGGAUGCUUUACAUGCAAGUCGAACGGUAUACAUUUACUCCUGGUCUGUGGCGAGUGGCGAACGGGGUGAGUAAUGUAUCGGAACGUGCCUAGUAGCGGGGAGCAAUCACGCGAAAAGGCUAAUACCGCAUACGCCCUCGGGGAAAAGCGGGGACCUCACCUCGCACUAUUAGAGCGGCCGAGGACACGAUUAUUGUGUUGGUGGGGUAACGGCUCACCAAGGCGACGAUCCGUAGCUGGUCGAGGAGGACGACCAGCCACACUGGGACUGGGAGACAUACCCAGACUCCUACGAGUGCGGCAGUGGGAAUUUUUGGACAAUGGGGAAACCCCUGAUCCAGCCAUUCCGCGUAAAAGUAUGCUGAAGGCCUUCGGGUUGUGGUAAAGCACUUUUGGCAGGGAGGAAACGGCACGGGACAAUACCCCGGGCAACUGGCUGGUACCUGCAGAAUAAGCACCGGCUGACUACGUGCCAGCAGCCGCGGUAAUACGGUGGUGCAAAGCGUUAAUCAAAUUACUGGGCGUAAAGCGCGGUGCAGGCGGUUCGGAAAGAAAGUAUGUGAAAUCCGCAGAGCUUAACUUUGAACUGCAUUUUUAACUACCGACAGAGGUGUCAGAGGAGGUGGAAUUCGCGUAGCAGUGAAAUGAUGCAGAUAUGCGGGAGGAACACCGAUGGCGAAAGGCAGCCUCCUGGGAUAACACUGGACGUCUUAUGCAUCGGAAAGCGGGAGCAAACAGGAUUAGAUACCCCCAGUCCACGCCCUAAACGAUGUCAACUAGCUGUUGGGGCUUCCUUCGGGCCUUGGUAUGCAGCUAAUGAAGUGACCGCCUGGGAGUACGGUCGCAAGAUUAAACUCAAAGGAAUUGACGGGGACUCAGCAUUGUUGUGAUAUGUGGAUUAAUUCGAUGCAACGCGAAAACCUUACCUACCCUUGACAUGUCUGGAAUCCCGAAGAGAUUUGGGAGUGCUCGCAAGAGAACCGAACACAGGUGUGCUGUAUGGCUGUCGUCACUCGUGUCGAGAUGUUGUCCGCAACGAAGUGCAACCCUUGUCAUUAGUUACGAAAGGGCACCUCUAAUGAGACUGCCGGUGACAAACCGGAGAAGGUGGGGAUGGACGUCAAGUCCUCUGGCCCUGGUGGGUAGUGGGCUUGCUGACGUCACAAUAAAUGGCUGGAUGAGGUCGCCAACCCGCGAGGGGAGCCAAUCCCAGAAACCUGAUCAGUCCGGAUCGCAGUCUGCAACUCGACUGCGUGAAGUCGGAAUCGCUAGUAAUCGCGGAUCAGCAUGUCGCGGUGUGAAUACGUUCCCGGGUCUUGUACACACCGCCCGUCACACCAUGGGAGUGGGUUUACCAGAAGUAGUUAGCCUAACCGUAAGGAGGGCGAUUACCACGGUAGGAUUCAUGACUGGGGUGAAGUCGUACUAAGGUAAUCCCC